rnacentral:rRNA from 1 species
AUUGAACGCUGGCGGCAUGCCUUACACAUGCAAGUCGAACGGCAGCACGGGAGCAAUCCUGGUGGCGAGUGGCGAACGGGUGAGUAAUGUAUCGGAACGUACCUUUCAGUGGGGGAUAACGUAGCGAAAGUUACGCUAAUACCGCAUAUUCUGUGAGCAGGAAAGCAGGGGAUCGCAAGACCUUGCGCUGAUUGAGCGGCCGAUAUCAGAUUAGCUAGUUGGUGAGGUAAAGGCUCACCAAGGCGACGAUCUGUAGCGGGUCUGAGAGGAUGAUCCGCCACACUGGAACUGAGACACGGUCCAGACUCCUACGGGAGGCAGCAGUGGGGAAUUUUGGACAAUGGGCGCAAGCCUGAUCCAGCCAUGCCGCGUGCGGGAAGAAGGCCUC